rnacentral:antisense_RNA from 1 species
CUUCACCGACCCCAGCCACAACGGCCGCUCACGGUCCUGCCCGUACGUCGCGAUCAGCGCCUGGGCCUC